UACGUAGGGUGCGAGCGUUGUCCGGAAUUACUGGGCGUAAAGCGUGCGUAGACGGUUGCGUAAGUCAGAUGUGAAAGCCCCGGGCUCAACCUGGGAAUUGCAUUUGAGACUGCGUAGCUAGGGUGCGGAAGAGGGAAGCGGAAUUUCCGGUGUAGCGGUGAAAUGCGUAGAUAUCGGAAGGAACACCAGUGGCGAAAGCGGCUUCCUGGUCCAGCACCGACGUUCAGGCACGAAAGCGUGGGGAGCAAACAGG
rnacentral:rRNA from 1 species